GAUGAAGAACGCAGCGAAAUGCGAUAAGUAAUGUGAAUUGCAGAAUUCAGUGAAUCAUCGAAUCUUUGAACGCACAUUGCGCCCGUCGGCACUCCGGCGGGCAUGCCUGGCCGAGCGUCAUUUCAACCCUCAGGACCCCCUUCCGGGGGGGACCUGGCGCUGGGGAUCAGCGGCCUCCGGGCCCCUGUCCCCCAAAUGCAGUGGCGGUCGCGCCGCAGCCUCCCCUGCGUAGUAGCACACCUCGCACCGGAGAGCGGCUCGGCCACGCCGUGAAACCCCCAAUUUUUCAAGGUUGACCUCGGAUCAGGUAGGAAUACCCGCUGAACUUAAGCAUAUCAAUAAGCGGAGGA
rnacentral:misc_RNA from 1 species